rnacentral:rRNA from 1 species
UUCCAGACUCCUACGGGAGGCAGCAGUGAGGAAUAUUGGUCAAUGGCCGUAAGGCUGAACCAGCCAAGUAGCGUGAGGGAAGACUGCCCUAUGGGUUGUAAACCUCUUUUAUGCGGGGAUAAAGGUGUCCACGUGUGGAUGUUUGCAGGUACCGCAUGAAUAAGGACCGGCUAAUUCCGUGCCAGCAGCCGCGGUAAUACGGAAGGUCCGGGCGUUAUCCGGAUUUAUUGGGUUUAAAGGGUGCGUAGGCGGUUUUUUAAGUUAGUGGUUAAACGUCGGGGCUUCACCUUGAUUUGCCAUUAAUACUGUAAGACUCGAGUUCAGACGAGGUAGGCGGAAUAAGUUAAGUAGCGGUGAAAUGCUUAGAUAUAACUUAGAACUCCGAUAGCGAAGGCAGCUUACCAGACUGCGACUGACGCUGAAGCACGAGAGCGUGGGUAGCGAACAGGAUUAGAUACCCGCGUA